rnacentral:lncRNA from 1 species
CUAGGACAAAACGGCAGCUGACAGCGAGCAGAAACGAAGCAAAAGCAGAAAUAAGAGCAAUCAAACCACUGUGCGGGAUCCGGGUACUCAUAAACUCUCUGAAGCGACCACUGAAAACCGUGCGCGCCAUGUACGACUACUCGGCCGCCGACAACCACGAGGUUUCCUUCAAAGACGGAGACGUGAUCGUGAACGUCCAGGCCAUCGACGAGGGCUGGAUGUACGGCACCGUGCAGCGGACCGGCAAGACGGGCAUGCUCCCCGCCAACUACGUGGAGGCCGUUUAAACGAGACCCCCGUGAACCCCCCGCCCCACGAGGAGCCGCUAAAACACCCACACCCAACGUCCUCACCAACCAACCAACGCUUAGUGCAAUGUGUAGCUCUUAGUUUAGCUGUAGCACCGUUUAAAUGUGUUUCCUUUUGUUUGUGCACCUGUGGAUGUGAGAGCGAUUGAUAGGUUUCAGGCGACGUCAUCGGAGUAGAUCUGGAGCCGUGUUUUAGAAACUAUUUAAAUAAUUGGUUGAUUUGUCCCGUUAAAACCCUUUUUCCUGACGACACAGCAUUAGGAACUUUUUAGUCAUUUUCGUCUGUUUAUUCAGGAUCGAAUGCUACAAAUUGAACGUUUCCGCAUUCUAGAGGGCGCUAGCAAACACUGGCCAUAGACUUAACAUUAGCUACAACAGAAAAGGGACAAUUCUGUUUUUAAAUGUGUCACUACUGAUCAAUAUUAACCUAUUAUAGUGUCUAAAUUCCUUUAUUGGAAAAAUAACUCAUAAUUCCUUUUGGUUGGUUUGUUAUAUUAUUAUUCAGUUGUGAUGCAUCUAAAAAAGUAAUUGUUAAGAUGUGGCUCCGUUCCUUCGAGUGACGUCACUGGAAACUAUCAAUACGCGUAUAAAUACUAUUAUAAAUACUACGAUGUCUACUAUGAAUGAGCUUUUCUCCCUCACAGCUCGGACCCCGAACCCGACUAGAUUCACUUUCACUGUACAUUAUUACAACUAUGAAUGAUAUAUUUAUUUAUGUAGACUUCACCGAAGGCCCGAGCGGCGCCGACUUGUGCCUUAAGACGUAACGCGUUUAAACUUGAGAAGUGCGAAACGAGAAGGAUUUGAGGAGUUUUCUGUGGAUGAACUGAAGUGGAAGCUAAAG